GUCGAGCGGUAGAGAGAAGCUUGCUUCUCUUGAGAGCGGCGGACGGGUGAGUAAUGCCUAGGAAUCUGCCUGGUAGUGGGGGAUAACGUUCGGAAACGGACGCUAAUACCGCAUACGUCCUACGGGAGAAAGCAGGGGACCUUCGGGCCUUGCGCUAUCAGAUGAGCCUAGGUCGGAUUAGCUAGUUGGUGGGGUAAUGGCUCACCAAGGCGACGAUCCGUAACUGGUCUGAGAGGAUGAUCAGUCACACUGGAACUGAGACACGGUCCAGACUCCUACGGGAGGCAGCAGUGGGGAAUAUUGGACAAUGGGCGAAAGCCUGAUCCAGCCAUGCCGCGUGUGUGAAGAAGGUCUUCGGAUUGUAAAGCACUUUAAGUUGGGAGGAAGGGCAGUUACCUAAUACGUGAUUGUUUUGACGUUACCGACAGAAUAAGCACCGGCUAACUCUGUGCCAGCAGCCGCGGUAAUACAGAGGGUGCAAGCGUUAAUCGGAAUUACUGGGCGU
rnacentral:rRNA from 1 species